UACAGAGGGUGCGAGCGUUAAUCGGAAUUACUGGGCGUAAAGCGCGCGUAGGUGGCUAUGCAAGUCGGAUGUGAAAUCCCCGGGCUCAACCUGGGAACUGCAUUCGAGACUGCAUUGCUCGAGUAUGGGAGAGGGAAGUGGAAUUUCCGGUGUAGCGGUGAAAUGCGUAGAUAUCGGAAGGAACAUCAGUGGCGAAAGCGACUUCCUGGACCAAUACUGACACUCAAGUGCGAAAGCGGGGGGAGCAAACAGG
rnacentral:rRNA from 1 species